rnacentral:rRNA from 1 species
UACGUAGGGAGCAAGCGUUGUCCGGAAUCAUUGGGCGUAAAGCGCGCGUAGGCGGCCCCGUAAGUCCGCUGUGAAAGUCAAAGGCUCAACCUUUGAAAGCCGGUGGAUACUGUGGGGCUAGAGUACGGAAGAGGCGAGUGGAAUUCCUGGUGUAGCGGUGGAAUGCGCAGAUAUCAGGAGGAACACCAAUAGCGAAGGCAGCUCGCUGGGACGUUACUGACGCUGAUGCACGAAAGCUAGGGGAGCAAACAGG